rnacentral:misc_RNA from 1 species
UACAAUCCAUCAAAUACGCAGCGUCGAGCCUCCACCAUUUUGUUUUCCCCACUCCUCGUGCGUGCGUGUUUGCAGUGUUUGUGCGAAGAGCUCCCCAUGAUGCCAGUAAAACGUGCAAAAACGAACCUAAAACGGGCUUCUUGUAGUGUCAUCUAGUUAGCCAUGGAGCGUAUAUCGCCAGAAGAAGCGGCCUCCUUGAGCGAAGCGCGGAAGCAGAUAGUGGAAAUAGCCAGAAGUCGGCCGGGAACCCAAGUGGCAAAGUGCAUCCUCGCCUACGAUGAGCAACAGGACCUCGCCUCGCUAGUCGUCCUCCUCGAAGAGCUCUCCAAGAACACGGACUACUCCACGGACCUGCGGAUAUCACUAGGAUAUUAUAUUGAGGAGCUACUGCGGCACUGCUUAGGACACAAUUAUGUCUCCCGUAGAUCAGCCAUCGUGGCCGCGGGAAGUGCCCUCCAGUACUGCGGCAAGAUCUAUGGAGACCGUGUGGAGUACAUGUACCAGGUGGUGGAGCACCAGAUCGAAGCCCUGCUCACAUCGGAGUCGCAGAAGGAGACGCCCGGCGGAAGUAGUGCACCGAAGAACAAUGACCCCAGGCCGGAGGAACCGCGGAAACGUCGCGCAAAGAAGCUGACGCAGAAGGAAAUAGAUCCUUAUUUGCUCACAGUGGAACCGAAAAAGUUCAAGACCAUGUCGGAUGACAAACGCUUCAACAUGUCGGGCUUUGUAAAGUGCACGAGAAAUCGGACAAUAGAAUACCUUUAUCAGGAUCACACGCCGCCCAACCUGUGGAGACAAGCGCCAAUUGUGGAUCCCCACAAUCCCUACGACCAGGAUGAGAAAAAGCAGUACAAAAUGUUUACGUAUCACGUAGAGCAUAGGUACAAUACGCUUCUGCCAGAUAUUCCCUUCGAAAGGCUGAAUCUCAUUAAGGAGUAUGUGCACACAAACCAGCUGAACACCACGGAGAUUCUUAAUGAGCACAUGACCACGAAGGAUUAUCUGGACGAGUAUAUUGCGCUGGAGAAUCAAAUGCUAGCAGCCCGCUAUGGAGCCACUGUCAGAACGAGAAGAUUGGUUGAGCCGGCGAAGAGAUUGAUGGAGGACAACUUGGUAGCGGAGCUUGCGAAAAAGGUGUGCAUGGACGAGAAUCUGGCAAUUGAUACGGACGAAACUGCUCCCCUUGAAGCAAUGGACGUGGACCAAUCUGUGAUGACUGACAACACCCAGUCGUUAGCCACAGCCGAUGCCCUGCAAAAUCAAAUAUCAGUGGAUUCGGGACUAGGCGAAACGAUGAACAUGAGUCAGGAUAACAGCAACAUCAACACCACGAUGGACAGCAGCCAGGUGGAGAACUCUACUUUAAGUGUUAGCCAAGUGGAGUCGUCUUUGAGCGUCAGCCAGGCAGAAAACUCCUUAAGCGUUAGCCAAGUAGAGAAUCCGCCGCUGAGCAGCACAUUGGCCAUUAAUGAGUCUAGUGUCCUGGACAGCACGAGAGUGGAUCUGCCCUCCAUAAAAGAUCUCACUCUAGACGAAAUGUUGUUAAUCGAUUCAGGGAUUGGUAUGGAAGACGUUUCCGAUAUCCAAAUGCAUACAGGCCAGUCUUUUGACGAUGAGGGUGUUGUUCUUUCAGAUUUAGAAGAUCAACGCCAAAUGUCGCCCACAAUGAAGUUGAUUAGCAAUACGGAAGAGGCAAAAACAGUUCAGAUCAUUGAAAUGGAUGCCGAUGUGGCAGUGAAUGUUCCAAGGGAGGUGUGCUAUCCCAUUCUGCUGAAUGUUAUGGGUCUCCCCAUUAAAGGCCUGCGUCGCAAAUGUAUCUUCAAACUUCCAACUGAGUUCGACUUAUUCAAGCAAGCACGUCUUCCUGCAAAGCGAGAGGCGCAACCAAAAGCCACACCCACUCCCAGAGCUAUAUUACAGAUUCAACGAGAAGCUCCCCAAAAAGAAAGAGAACUCGGAUCCCCCUGCAGCUUAGAGUUUGAUGAGGAUUUUAAUUUCCUGGGCUUCCGCCAACGUCGACCCACAUUUGACUCGGGCUUUGAUAUUGACGAGUUGCGUGCCGGUUCAGGUUGUGUGUCCACCAUCGGAGAAGUUAAAAUUGAGAUUGAAGACGGAACUGAAGCACACACCGACAAGUUGAAUAAUGUGAGCGCAAGCGACGCGUUGGUGGAGGAAUUAAACACUUCUGCCGAACCCAAAACUGAGAACAAUACUGCAAAUUCCUCGCAACUUGAAGUAACUGAAACGUCCGGAACUCUAAGCGGAUUCGAAACUACAGUGGAUUUAGGAAUGGAGCCGAAUGCAGUAGACAGUUGUAUUUUAAACGUCACUGAACUUGACAAUUCAGACCUGGAGAUUGCAACCCUUCAGGAAAAUGCUACCUUAAAUGACGAAGCAGUUGCAAAGGAUUUGCCUGCUGAAACACCUAAUCCAGAUGCCGACUCAGCAGUCAACGACUGCGAUGAGUCAACACGUUGCGACUCGCCUUUCGAAAUUGACGAUUUGGAUAACCCCGACUCCAGCUCAAUGAUCCGAGACUGGCAUAGACGGUUGGCUCCUUCUUUGGAGGCAGCCCAUGAACGGCAAAAUUUCAACAUUAGGGACUUGGGCACUGAGGUGUUGGACAUAUGCAAGGCGGGCAACGGAACAGCCACGUUAGCCGACGUUAUGGCUGACAAGGAUCCUAGCAUAAUGUGUCGCUAUAUGCUGGCUUCCCUGGUGCUGACAAACCACGGAAACGUGUCCUUGGAUUUUGGAAAUCGCGAUAAAAGUAAGCCCAUCGACAUGUCUCAGUUUCGAAUGCAUUUAAAGAGUACGAAGCGAAUGGAAAUCCAUCCCGAGGACGACGUAGGCAACAUAAAUGCUGCCAAGGGCCAAUCGGCGCCGAGGAGUAAAGAGCCAAAUGUUUCACCUAACAAUAUGAAGACAUGGAAAAGCAACCCGGCGUCUGCAGCUACAAAACGAAAAUCUGCGGAAGUGGCUUUAUCCGAGGUGUUUGCUAAAACUGUGCGAUUGAUACAGCCCAUCCCAAAGAUGUGGCAGACUCCUUCUGAUGCCGACUCGGGGAUAUCUUCGAUGGGCUCUUCAUUGGCAUCAACACCCCGCCUUAAUGAGUAGUUGUGUUUUGUCUUAAAUGUGCUUCGUAGUUUGUAGAUCCCUUGCGUCCCAGUGGCCCAGAGAUCAAUGCAUUAUUCCCAGCAGUAUAACAAGAUCAUGAGGCUGCAGUAG